rnacentral:rRNA from 1 species
UACGUAGGCAGCGAGCGUUGUUCGGAGUUACUGGGCGUAAAGCGCGUGUAGGCGGCUCGAUAAGUCCGGUGUGAAACCUUGGGGCUCAACCCCAAGCCUGCACUGGAUACUGCCGAGCUAGAGUCCGGGAGGGGAGAGCGGAAUUCCUAGUGUAGCGGUGAAAUGCGCAGAUAUUAGGAAGAACACCGGUGGCGAAGGCGGCUCUCUGGAACGGUACUGACGCUGAGACGCGAAAGCGUGGGGAGCGAACAGG